rnacentral:lncRNA from 1 species
CGAUGAAAAAAAUAAUUUCGUUGCCAAAAAUGGAUCCUCUAACAAAGAAAAAUGCAUUUCGCCGCUAGAGUUUUAAUUUUAGCGACAAAAAUUGGAUUUGGUCGCUAAAGGGGUGGAUGGUGGCAAUUUUUUGCGACAAAUUUGAGUCAUCACUAAAGAGUGAAUUUUUUGUCGCCGAAGCUCAAAGGAAAACUGCCCCAAAUCUAAGGCUAGAAGUGGAUC